GGUAGGAGUUUUGUUGCCAAAUAAGCCAAACCACCCCUAGAAAUUAGUCCUUAGAGUCUCAUGGGCAAUUGUAACGUUACAAUGUCUAUCGAUGGUAAUGCCGAGAUACUUGAUGGAGUCAGUUUCGGGUAUAAUUGUGCAAUCGUUGACUUUCAGAGGACCCAAGUUCGGAAGACCUGACUCAUAGGAAGUAAACGGUUUGGAUCUACCGCAGAGGUUAUCCACGUAAGACCAAAGUGAUUUUGUUGCUGAAGUAUAUUUCGUGACAAAGGUGUUCAUGUAAUCUCUUUUAGCAUUCCUGAUCAACUUGUGUAAAAUAUUUCUGUAUCUUGUAUAUUGUUGUUUCAACUCAGUAUUGUAUUGAUAUUUCAUCAUUUCCUUGUAUAAAUAGUUUUUUCUGUU